rnacentral:rRNA from 1 species
UACGUAGGGUGCAAGCGUUGUCCGGAAUUAUUGGGCGUAAAGAGCUCGUAGGCGGUUUGUCGCGUCGAAUGUGAAAACCCGGGGCUCAACCCCGGGCCUGCAUUCGAUACGGGCAGACUAGAGUUCGGUAGGGGAGUCUGGAAUUCCUGGUGUAGCGGUGAAAUGCGCAGAUACAGGAGGAACACCGGUGGCGAAGGCGGGACUCUGGGCCGAUACUGACGCUGAGGAGCGAAAGCGUGGGGAGCAAACAGG